AGCUGAUUUUAUGGGAAUGAGGGUAAUGAGGCCUUCAAGAAAGGAGAUUUCAUCAAUGCUAUUCAUUUUUACACCAAAGGAAUUAAAAUGAACUGCAAUGACAAAGAAUUGAAAGCCAAACUGCACAACAACAGGGCUAUUGCACAUUCUAAACUUGGAAAUCACCAGGAUUCACUAAGGGAUGCAGAAGCAGCCAUUGAGUUAAAUCCAACUUUCCUUAAGGCAAUUGUGAGAGGUUAGAUUUGUUAGCUGUACUAUAAUAAUAAUAACACUAAUAAUAAUAAUAAUAAUAAUAA